rnacentral:rRNA from 1 species
UACAGAGGUCCCAAGCGUUGUUCGGAUUCACUGGGCGUAAAGGGUGCGUAGGCGGUCGGGUAAGUCUGAUGUGAAAUCUCACAGCUUAACUGUGAAACUGCAUUGGAUACUAUCCGGCUAGAGGAAUGGAGGGGAGACUGGAAUACUUGGUGUAGCAGUGAAAUGCGUAGAUAUCAAGUGGAACACCAGUGGCGAAGGCGAGUCUCUGGACGUUUCCUGACGCUGAGGCACGAAAGCCAGGGGAGCAAACGGG